UUUUUCAAAAACAUUUUUUUAAUUUUUUAUUUAAAGUAAAGCCUGCCCACUGAUAUUUUGAAGGGCCGCGGUAUUUUGACCGUGCUAAGGUAGCAUAAUCAUUAGUCUUUUAAUUAAGGAAUAGAAUGAAUGGCUAAACCUUGAAAUGUUGUGUUGAUAAUAAAAGUUGAAUUUUAAUUUUAAGUGAAAAUUCUUAAAUAAAGAAAAAAGACGAUAAGACCCUUUAGAGCUUUAUUUUUUAAUAAAUAAAGGGUUUAGAAGAAAUCUUAAUUUUAUUUGAAAGUUUAAUUGGGGCAAUUAAAGAAUAAAUAAAACUUCUUAUAAUAAAAUAAAUCUUAAAUUUUAAAAAUUAAAAAGUUACCUAAGGGAUAACAGCGUAAUGAUUUUUGAGAGUCCAAAUCGACAAAAUUGUUUGCGACCUCGAUGUUGAAUUAAAAUGUCUUUUAGGAGCAGUAUUUUUAAAAGAUAGUCUGUUCGACUAUUGAAUUUUUACAUGAUUUGAUUCCCAGACCGGA
rnacentral:rRNA from 1 species